rnacentral:rRNA from 1 species
CCUACGGGCGGCAGCAGUGAGGAAUAUUGGUCAAUGGACGAGAGUCUGAACCAGCCAAGUAGCGUGAAGGAUGACUGCCCUAUGGGUUGUAAACUUCUUUUAUAUGGGAAUAAAAUGUUCCACGUGUGGGAUUUUGUAUGUACCAUAUGAAUAAGGAUCGGCUAACUCCGUGCCAGCAGCCGCGGUAAUACGGAGGAUCCGAGCGUUAUCCGGAUUUAUUGGGUUUAAAGGGAGUGUAGGUGGAGUGUUAAGUCAGUUGUGAAAGUUUGCGGCUCAACCGUAAAAUUGCAGUUGAAACUGGCAGUCUUGAGUACAGUAGAGGUGGGCGGAAUGCGUGGUGUAGCGGUGAAAUGCUUAGAUAUCACGAAGAACUCCGAUUGCGAAGGCAGUUCACUGGACUGCAACUGACACUGAGGCUCGAAAGUGUGGGUAUCAAACAGGAUUAGAUACCCUUGUAGUC